rnacentral:rRNA from 1 species
AGAGCGAACGCUGGCGGCAGGCCUAACACAUGCAAGUCGAGCGCCCGUAGCAAUACGGGAGCGGCAGACGGGAUAGUAACACGUGGGAACGCGCCCUUCGGUUCGGAAUAACUCAGGGAAACUUGAGCUAAUACCGGAUACGCCCUUACGGGGAAAGAUUUAUUGCCGAAGGAACGGCCCGCGUCCGAUUAGCUAGUUGGUGAGGUAAUGGCUCACCAAGGCUCCGAUCGGUAGCUGGUCUGAGAGGAUGACCAGCAUCACUGGGACUGAGACACGGCCCAGACUCCUACGGGAGGCAGCAGUGGGGAAUAUUGGACAAUGGGCGCAAGCCUGAUCCAGCCAUGCCGCGUGGAUGAUGAAGGCCUUAGGGUUGUAAAGUCCUUUUAACGGGGAAGAUAAUGACGGUACCCGUAGAAUAAGCCCCGGCUAACUUCGCGCCAGCAGCCGC